rnacentral:rRNA from 1 species
UACGGGGGGGGCAAGCGUUGUUCGGAAUUACUGGGCGUAAAGGGUUUGUAGGUGGCUUGUUAAGUCAGACGUGAAAUCCCUCAGCUUAACUGGGGAACUGCGUCUGAUACUGGCGAGCUUGAGUGCAGGAGAGGAACGCGGAAUUCCAGGUGUAGCGGUGAAAUGCGUAGAUAUCUGGAGGAACACCGGUGGCGAAGGCGGCAUCCUGGACCAAUAUUGACGCUGAGGAGCGAAAGCCAGGGGAGCAAACGGG